rnacentral:rRNA from 1 species
ACUUGUCUUUUAAAUAAAGACUAGUAUGAAUGGCAAGACGAAAGUUUAACUGUCUCCUUUAUCUAGUCAAUGAAACUGAUCUCCUGGUACAAAAGCCAGGAUAAUAUAAUUAGACGAGAAGACCCUAUGGAACUUAAAACACGCCUCCACCCACACCAGUUAAAAUAUUUGAUACAUUGGACCGCUGUUUUUGGUUGGGGCAACCACGGAGAAAAAUAAUCCUCCUAGAAACUAAAAUUAAGUAAUACAAGACAAAAUACCAAUACCAUGAAUAUGAUCCAUAUAUAUGAUCAACGAACCAAGCUACCCUAGGGAUAACAGCGCUAUCUUCUCCAAGAGUCCAUAUCCACGAGAAGGUUUACGACCU